rnacentral:lncRNA from 1 species
UUGAGGAGCCCAAUUAACUAUCUUACCCUUAUGCCCUUGGAAUUGAUGAGGGUAUGCCAUUUUAUUGUCUUCUCUUAUAACCCAAAGAAAAGGUCUAUUGGUGAGGUCUAGUCCAAGGGCAAGUUCAUUGAAUUGGUUUUGGUCAAAAAGAGUGAUACUACCAAAGGCAACAUACAACACAGAACCAUGAGCUUGUUCAUCUAGCCAACUCAUGCAAGAGAGAUCUUCUUCCCAGAAUUGCCCCAAUGAUCUUAGAGUUACAUUAGUUUUGUAAUGAUGAUCACUUCUCAACAACGGACCAAUUGGAAGGAGACUCGGAACAAGGGUUAAUACGUGAGGUUCAAGUUCAUGUGCAGUAUCACAAAGCCACCAUUGGGUCAAAUUUAAAGCUGGAGUACAGUGAUGCGCCAAGUAAUUAAGGUAAUGAGAACCAUCCAUAAGUCCAGCCAUGUGAAACCAAAAAAGGGUUCUUGUGUCCAUCUCUGGCAUACUUGGUGAUAAUUGAAUUGUUCCUUUUGAAGUUAAUAUGGAUCCUGCAAUGAAACAUGACAUAAUUGAGAAGUAAAAUAUGUUUUUAGAUGGGCAUGGUAUUUAUUAAAACAGGACCAAACAAAAGCAUAAGGUGCCAGACUUUAGAAACAAAAGUAUGAUAGUGUUCUUACCAUCUGAAUCUAUGAUCCCAUCAUCAACGAGCUUUGGAACACUGCUUACCAAAUGAAACAAAGUUGCAGAGGCAGGCCAAAACAGAGCUCCUUUGAUUCCCAAUUCACAGGCAACGUUCAAUAUCCAUCCCACAUGUACAUCUGCAACAAUGAACCUGAUUCUGUUGUCACCUUUCAAAUGAAUAUUAUUAUUAUCCUCUAUUAGCUUUUUAAGUGCUUCUGGCAUGGUGAUUACCAUAGAAUCACAUAGCUUGCCCACGUCGUUUCUGUCAUCAUUAGGUCCUAAGCCAUCUGAGAUUGAGACCAACUUCAGUGGCGAUUCUUCAUCAUAUUGAUCCACCAUUGAACUCACCACUCUCUUGUGGUUGAAGUCUGUGUUUACAAAUAUGACUCUGCAUCCAUUCUCCACCAGCUUUUGUGAUAGGGUUAACAUGGGAUCACAUGCCCUUGACUUGGAAAUGGGAAAACUAGCACAGUUGGAAUCCUCAUGCUAUGUUCUAGUGUCUGCCUAUUCUUUCAGACCUAGUUUGCACUUCACGGGUAUGGCUUUGUUUAUAUACACUGAAAAUAUGAUUACCAAUUGUUAUAGAUUCAUUGGAUCAAGGAUAAUUGGUAAAUAUCUGGAACCACAAAUUUAAGUUUUGUUUUUAUCUCAAUGAGAGUUGUGUAUGAUUUAGUUAUCUAUAAUGUUAAUAGAAAUGUUAAGAAUUAUGGUUAUUGUUUAUUGUGUAGCCAAAUCAUUUUUUUUCCAUCUUUAAUAUAAUAUGUUUAUACAAAAUUGAGUUUGCUAGUUGAAUUAGAUUGUGAAAGUGCUGGUACCAAACAAUAAGAAAACUUUUCACAUAUUGAUGAACCCAAUUGAUUGAAAAGAGAACCAGAUGCACGUCCUUGGCCAACUAUGCCAGAAUUUGCCCUUUCAAAAGCAAUGGUGUUGUUGUAACUACCACAUCCUAUUAAAAUUCCAGGGGAUUUUUGUUAUUCUGCAUGCGGUACAGAACCCAAUUCUACAGUAUGUUCACCAUAAUGGAAGUAAGCUCUUUCUUCUCCAAUUUUCCUAACGAUCAUGAUGAGAGGGGCAUGUGGAAGAUUUUUCAGCGAAGGGGAAGAGUAAAAGACGUUUUAUUUUAAACAGAUUAAAUGUGAAAGGACAGAGGUUCGGUUUUGUGAGAUUUUAGGAUGUUGUACAUCCACAAGUGGAAGUAUAUAAUCCUUUGCAUAUAUCAGUGAUCUGAGAAUUUUCAUGUUGUCCACAUGGACUGUCUCAAAAAGACGUGUCAGAUUAUGGAAGGCCUCUAUUUGCCUCUUGUCAUCUGCAACGGGUUAAGGAUAUGCAAUUGUCAAUUAUGCUUCAUUUCUAGAUAAAUUCUAUCCUUAUAUAUACUUACUAAAACUCUCAAAUAGCACAUCAAUUCAAAACCCUUUAAAUUGAGUUCAGGCAUUUAUAUAUAUAAAUAUGCAAAUUAAUUAACUUGAGUAUAAUUGUCCCUACCUACAUAUUGGUAGCAAAGAACCAGUUGGUUCUUGAGGUGCUCAUGAAUACUAGUAACUUGUGAGCAAGACUAGAUAAUUCCCAUGCCUCAGUGGUUGAUGAAAUGGACCUGCAAUCAACAAAAUUGGGGCCCCGGCUACAAAACUGCACCGCAAGUCCUCCCACAAGUGAUUUAGGAUAUACAAUGCUUAUGAACCAUUCAUGAACAACACUAUUCAAGUAAAUUCAACUCCUCCAAAACGAGUGAAUGCGUUGAAAAAAAAAACUGCAUUUCCGUUUGUUACAUACACAACCUUUUUAAAUGAACAGUAAAUACACUGUUAAUUUCUCAUUUUAUACAUGUACCUACCUUUAAAGAAUCAAAUUCAUACAAUCAAAAUUUUCUACAGCAUGGCAGUAGCCAGCAGGAAUAAAAAAAGAAUGGAAAUAUGUACUCAGUUCACUAACAUGAAUCUUCCUAGUCCCUCCCCAUCCCAGUUGAUCCACACCCCACACACACACACACUCUUCAAUUUACAACAUUAUCGUUAAACACAAACUAUGCAACUAUGUUCCGUCGCAGCUUCAAGGUUAACGAAUUGCUGGUUGACAAGUCCCUGCGAGAAUUGGAACAACAACAACAAAAGAAGGUACAAGACGAAUCACGAAGCACGGACCACAACCUCAAUCAUAAACCAUAGCCACAAAGAAUGACGGGAACGACGCACUAACGACGAAAAACAAACUGAUAAGAAAAAUUAGGGUUCCGAGAUCGUCAAAUAAAUCACAAACACCACAUGACCAAUCGCGGAACAUUCUACCAUGUUCCGUGCUGGAAUAGCAGAAGCACGUUUUCGUGGUGGAGCAGGAGAAGCAAAGGUCCAGUGAUGUGCGAUGGGAGUUGGACGGAAAUAAGAGUAAAAAAAAGAGAAGAUGGAAAUGAAAGGCGGGUUUAGGGGCUACGGAAGUGAAGAGGAAAGGAAAAGAAAAUAAGGAAAAAAUAAAAAACAAUAGUUUACUAAGGUUUUCAAAUAAACUUCUACCCUUUUUUCCAGAGGUUUUCAAAUAAACAUCGUUAAAUAGACUUUUGAUAUUUAAUAAAGUUUAAGUUUAAAAAAACUUUUCUUAAUUAAAUUUAUUAUGGAAGUUAUAUUAAUCAUUGAUAAAUAAAUUUAUUUUAAUAUAAUAUAAAGUUAUUAAAUGAAAAUUAAUAUAAAGUUUUGAUUAAAUAAAUAUUUAAAAUUAAGUAAACAUUUAUAACUCAACGAAGAUUAAAAAAACUUUCACUAUUUUUCAGAGAUUAAAAUAAAUUUUUGGAAAUUAAUUAAGAUUAUAAAAAACCUCCGUUAUUUUGUGGAGGUUUCAAAAUAAACCUUUGGAAAUUAAUGAAGGUUAAAAAAACCUCCAUUAUUCUACUAAGGUUUUAAAAUAAACCUUUGUAAAUUAACAAAAGUUAAAAAAACCUUCAUAAUUUUGCGAAAGUUUUAAAAUAAACCUUUGAAAAUUAACGAAGGUUAAAAAAAACAUCCGUUAUUUUGCUGAGAUUUUAGAAUAGAUCUUUGAAAAUUAACAAAAGUUAAAAAAACCUCUGUUAUUUUGUUGAGGUUUUAGAAUAAAUCUUUGAAAUUUAGCUAAGGUUAAAAAGCAUCCGGUAUUUUGUUGAGGUUUUAGAAAAAACCUCCAUUAAUUAAAUCAAUCCCUAGGGUUAUAUUAACUUCCGCUAAAUAACCUCCCUUAAAACCUUUUUUGUUGUUGUAGUGUGUAGAUGCUGCUGAUCUAGAAAAAAAGGCUAAAUAUUAUCUGGAUUGGGACAUGGAAGAUGAGUGUAAAUAAACCCAAAUACAAGAGAGUUCAGGAGACUAGGAAGGAGUGGAAUGGAAACCAUAGAACAAAGAAACAACAGAAGGAAUAGAGGCAGAGGGACUAACAUCAAAUGUACGCUUAGGUGGUGGUGAAGGAGAAUGAAAGGAGAGUACAAGGGGUUAAGGCACAAGGAUUGGUUCAUUUCAAAGUUCAGGAUGUCCUGGUAUGUAUACAUUAUUAUUGUUGUCAUAUAUUGAUUUUUAAUAUUAAUUGAUCAAUUUUAAUUUCAUGAUGUUUUAUUGCAGACACAUUUUGAUAUUCCUAAUGUGGAACCGCUGAGAUCGAAGGUGUCAUUAAAUUUCGUCAGUUUAAGUCACAACUAACUAUGAAUUAUGUUUUUGGACGUUAUAAAGGUCAAAAUCCUUGUUUAAAGUACACAAAUAUUGAUGAGGAGACAUGUCGUUUUUUGUUUAAAGCCGUGAAUUUGAAGAGUGGUCGGUAAGUAAGUUACUUAAUUAUUUUAUUUAUGGAUCAUAACAUAAUUACUUAAUAUUAUUUUAUUCACUUUGUUUAUUUCUUUUAUAAUAGGAUCGUCGAAAGAAAGCUUAAGACAUUGCAUUAAAGCAUGUGACCCUGCACCUAAUGUCUCGUUCAGGGGUAUCAUAAGCUUGAACAAUAUUGAUGUAGGAAAAGGAGCAAUCGAGACAUGGGAUUGCUUUUGACAUUGAUACAGGGGUCAACGAACACCACCUACCCGCCGCCAAAAAUGGAAGAUGGCUCGAAUUAAAAAGUCAGGUACAUAUAGUUUUGAGCAAUCACAGAUAGUCUCAGAAAAAAAUUGUAAGUUAUUUUUAUCCUCUUUGGCAUUUAUUUUAAAGCAUUAAUUAUAUUAAAAACUUAUAUGAUUUUGGUCUGUUGCAGGAUUCCUUGGUUGAGCAAAGCUCCUAAGGUAAUUUUGUACCUCAAGGUUGUCAAGAUAUCCUAGUUGAAACAAUUGGACGACCUAAGCACCCUAGUCCUGUACGUGCAAUUGGAAAAGUGGUUGGAAUUAAAAUUUAUUUCGGAGUUGCACCACGACAUUCAUCCUCCUCCCCCCGUUAGAGAGCAAAGCAUAAAUGAUGAUGAAGAUACAACAAGAAUUAAUGGAGGAGAUGAAAAAGGAAAUGAUCACAUGCGGCUAGAGUUGCGAAAGGAUUUUCUAUCGCAACAGGUUUGUGCUGAGUCGGUUGAGCCGCUUGUUAGUCUCAAUCUCAAAAGCACAUAGGGGAGUUGUGCAACUCCUACAACGUCAGAAGGGGAUGUCAUUGGAAAAGUUUAUCAAAAGGCCAUUACCUUACACAACGUUCCUCUCUCCCCUGAUGUGGUGAAGGUAAUGGUGGAACAAGUACGAGUAACUGAUGUUCGUGUUCCACUACCUACAAAUGAGGUAACCACUCUGGCCGAGGCAUUUCAGACAUUCACAGCCUAACCCAGAUACCUCGUUCGAAUUAUGCCAAAACCCUCGGUAAUAACUUCAUUUUGUUAUAUUAAUUUAUAUUUAUGUAUUACAUCUAAUUUAAUAUAAAUGUUCUUUAUUUUGUAGAAACCUCGUCGGAAACCAAGUCCGAAAAAGAAGCAUGAGGUUCCCAUUGAUGAUCCUAUAACUUCUUUAAAAGUAGCGACUAAGGAGAUUCCGUGGGAUGAUAGCUUUUUUGGAAGAGGCACUAACAUGCCACUGUACAUAUAUAUGUCAGAUUUGUUAGAAUUUGCAGCUGAAAACUAGGAUCUUAAUAUGACUAUAAUUCAAUUUUUUAUUAUGUAAGUAUCUUUACCUAUAUUUCAACUUAUUUUAUGUUAAAUUAUUAUUGAUUAUGCUUUAACUAAUAACUUCUAGGUAUUUUUCUAGAGUUUCUAUUAAUGACGAGAAUGAAGAUGUCUAUGGAUUCUUGGAUUCCUAUCAUAUUAACCCAAUUAAAGCGAAGAAAGCCGAAACUCAAUCAUACAUCACUAACACUCUGAGCAAAAAGGGAUUUUUUUUUAUCAUUGCCCUUAUAUUAAUGAGUAAGUUCAAUUAUAAGUCGUCAAGUAUUACUAUUUCAUGUUUUAAAUAUUUACUAACUCUUUUCAUAGAUGAUAUUGGGGUCAGUGACAGUUACUUGUGUUAUCCACGGUUGAUAAGACUGUUGUGUGGUUUUGUUCAUUGCACAAUAAGCCAUCCACACAUCUGAAACAUAUAAUUGAUGUAAUUACACUAUAAACUUGUAUGUUACUUAAAUGUCUACUAACGCGGUUUUUUAUAUUAAUCAGGGCAUGGCAUGGGUAUAACAUACUCGAAGGUCGACCGAGUGCAAAUUAUAAAAACCUGACAUAGUUGAACUUAAAGGUUUGCAAUUUUUGUCUUCCUCUUUUCAUUGUUUAUCAAUAUUAACUUAUAAUUUCUAUAGAAUUAUAGUGUAAUAGACAACCAGGAGACUACGAGUGUGACUAUUACGUCAUGCAAUGGAUGAUUACCAUUGUAAGAGAUAUUAAAACAGAUUGGGAGCAUGUAAUAAUAUUAAAUUUUUUCUUUAUAAUUCUUUAACAUAUAUAACACUAAUUAAUGUGAACCUUAUUUUGUAAUGGAACUCUUUACGGAUGAAAACCCACUGCCUUUGGCUGACAUAGAAUAUGUGAGACAUGCUUGGACCACAUAUUUCCUUAAUUUCUAUAACUCUACGAUAGCUACUCAAUAGUAUAUGAAUUAGAUAGAUAGAUAGGAAUAUGUAUUAGUGUAUGUAAUACAUAUUUAUUAAUAUAUAUAUAAUUUGAUUCUUUGAAUUUAUGUAUCUGGCUGACUGAGUUUUAACUGAAUAGGUUAAUUUAGUUGAAAAAACAUAUUAAACAAAAUGUAUUAAAAAAAUUCUUAGAAUACAUGGCGAUUAUGACCAUAAUCGCCAUUUAUACCUCAUGGGGAAGGGUAUAAACGACAGUUAUGACAAUAACCGACAUGUAUACCCCCAUCUUUGCUGAGCCUUCGAAAGGGUAUAAAACGACGGUUAUUACCGUAAUCAUCGUUUUAUACCUCUUGCAGGUAUGGUAUUUGGGAGUGUAGGGGAGGUUUUAAGUGGCAGUUAUUACCAUAACUUCCAUUUAUUUAUGUCAUUAACACGACGAUCAUUUAGCCGCCAUCUAUUCAUCAAGAGAAUAGAUUAAUGUUCAUACACAACGGGUCAAGAAUCACCAUUUUAUUGCUAAAUUAACCGUCGUCUUUCACAUUUUCUACACUGCAACUUUUCUUUCAUCAAGUAUAUAGAAAUAAUGAUUUGUUUAUUGUUUAUGUUUCUUUUUAUUAACCAACUAUUUACAAUUUUUUUUCAUAAGCAAAAUAAUUUAGUAGUAAAAGAAAGCUAAACUUGAGCACAAUGUAAGUAAAGCUGUAAAAAAUUGAAAUGACUCCAUUAACCAUUGAGGAUCAUAAACAUAAAUCAUCAUGGUAGACAAAACAACAAUUAAUCUAAACCUAGAAUUAACAAAAACACAAAAUGUCAAAUCUUAUUCUUUUAUCUCCUUCACAAACUUCUUAAGGUUCUCAUAAGAUGUACCUCCUUUUGCUAUGUUGUUCAUCACUUUCUCCUUCAACACCACACACCUAAAUUUCAUGCUCUCAUCAUUACAUAAUUGUUCAACCUUGGUUUUCAACUCUCCGCGUGACACAACUCCAUUUUGAUCUUUGUCAAUUCCCAACCCAACCUUUAACUCAUCACAAAUAUGUGUUUUGUUGUAAGGUUGGUCUCCAAAGUAUGGCCAACACAAGAAAGGUACCCCAUUGGACAAACCUUCCAUGGUAGAAUUCCAACCACAAUGAGUGAGAAAACAUGCUAUGGCAGGGUGACUUAAAACCUUUUGUUGAGGAGCCCAAUUCACUAUCUUACCCUUAUGCCCUUGGAAUUCAUGAGGGUAUGCCAUUUUAUUGUCUUCUCUUAUAACCCAAAGAAAAGGUCUAUUGGUGAGGUCUAGUCCUAGGGCAAGUUCAUUGAAUUGGUUUUGGUCAAAAAGAGUGAUACUACCAAAGGCAACAUACAACACAGAACCAUCAGCUUGUUCAUCUAGCCAACUCAUGCAAGAGAGAUCUUCUUCCCAGAAUUGUCCCAAUGAUCUUAGAGUUACAUUAGUUUUGUAAUGAUGAUCACUUCUCAACAACGGACCAAUUGGAAGGAAACUCGGAACAAGGGUUAAUACGUGAGGUUCAAGUUCAUGUGCAGUAUCACAAAGCCACCAUUAAGUCAAAUUUAAAGCUGGAGUACAGUGAUGCACCAAGUAAUUAAGGUAAUGAGAACCAUCCAUAAGUCCAGNNNNNNNNNNNNNNNNNNNNNNNNNNNNNNNNNNNNNNNNNNNNNNNNNNNNNNNNNNNNNNNNNNNNNNNNNNNNNNNNNNNNNNNNNNNNNNNNNNNNCAUGACAUAAUUGAGAAGUAAAAUAUGUUUUUAGAUGGGCAUGGUAUUUAUUAAAACAGGACCAAACAAAAGCAUAAGGUGCCACACUUUAGAAACAAAGGCAACAAUACAAAAGUAUAGUAAAGUAUGAUAGUGUUCUUACCAUCUGAAUCUAUGAUCCCAUCAUCAACGAGCUUUGGAACACUGCUUACCAAAUGAAACAAAGUUGCAGAGGCAGGCCAAAACAGAGCUCCUUUGAUUUCCAAUUCACAGGCAACAUUCAAUAUCCAUCCAACAUGUACAUCUGCAACAAUAAACCUGAUUCUGUUGUCACCUUUCAAAUGAAUAUUAUUAUUAUCCUCUAUGAGCUUUUUAAGUGCUUCUGGCAUGGUGAUUAGCAUAGAAUCACAUAGCUUGCCCAAGUUGUUUCUGUCAUCAUCAGGUCCUAAGCCAUCUGGGAUUGAGACCAACUUCAGUGGUGAUUCUUCAUUGUAUUGAUCCACCAUUGAGCUCACCACUCUCUUGUGGUUGAAGUCUGUGUUCACAAAUAUGACUUUGCAUCCAUUCUCCACCAGCUUUUGUGAUAGGGUUAACAUGGGAUUCACAUGCCCUUGACAUGGAAAUGGGAAAACUAGCACAGUUGGAAUGCUCAUGCUGUGUUCUUGUGUUUGCACUUCACGGGUAUGGCUUUGUUUAUAUACUCUGAAAAUAUGACUACCAGUUGUUAUAGGCUCAUUGGAUUAAGGAUAAUUGGUAAAUAUUUGGAACCACAAAUUUAAGUUUUGUUUUUAUCUGAAUGUGAGUUGUGUAUAAUUUAGUUAUCUAUAAUGUUAAUAGAAAUGUUAAGAAUUAUGGUUAUUGUUUACUGUGUAGCCAAAUCAAUUUUUUCUUCUUCUUUAAUAUAAUAUGAUUAUACAAAAUUGAGUUUGGUAGUUGAAUUGGAUUGUGAAAGUGCUGGUACCAAAGAAUAAGAAAACUUUCCACCUAUUGAUGGAUCUAAUUGAGUGAUAAGGGAACCAGAUGCUCGUCCUUGGCCAACUAUGCCAGAAUUUGCCCUUUCAAAAGCAAUGGUGUUGUAACGACCACAUCCCAUUCAAAUUCCAGGGAAUUUUUGUUAUUCUGCAUGCAGUACAGAACCCAAUUGUACAGUACGUUCACGAUAAUGGAAGUAAGUUAUUUCUUCUCCAAUUUUCCUAACGAUCAUGAUGAGAGGGACAUGUGGAAGAUUUUUCAGCGAAGUGGAGGAUUAAAAGACGUUGUGAUUUAAAAAGAUUAAUCGUAAAAGGGCAGAGGUUUGGUUUUGUUAGAUUUCAGGAUGUUGUAGACGUUGCUAAUCUAGAAAAAAAGCUUAAUAUUAUCUGGAUUGGGACAUGGAAGCUGAGAAUAAAUAAACCAAAAUACAAGAGACUUCUGGAGGUUAGGAAGGAGUGGAAUGGAAACCAUAAACCAAGGAAACAACAAAACGAGUGGAGGCAGAGGGAGCAACAUCUAACGUACGCUCAGGUGGUGGUGAAGGAGAAUAAAAGGAGAGUACAAGGGGUUAAGGCACAAGGACUGGUUCAUGUCAGAGUUCAGGAGGAAAAUGCAAAAUGGCUGAGAAGUUGCUUCGUAGGAAGAGUGGCGAAGGUGGAGAAGGUGCAGUCCAUGAAGUAGUGUUUCAUUAUGGAUGUUUUCAAGUGUAUUAGAGUGAGGUAUCUAGGGGGGACUACGUUCUGCUGUCUGAGGAUUUGGUAGGGGUGGUACAAAAAGCGUUGGAAGACAAAAAGGAGUGGUUUGCAAAUGUUUUUGCAUUUGUAGUCCCAUGGGAUGACAUCUUUGUAGUGGAGGACAAGAUUGUAUGGGUUAGAUGCAGAGGAAUUUCUUUAAAGUUCUGGAGUAAACAUUGUUUUGAACAAGUAGCAGCCCUCGUAGGGUCAUUGAUAGAAGUCGAUGUUGCAACGUUAUCAAGUACGCAAGGGUGCGUGUGAGGGUUCCUGUGGCCAGAGAAGCAUGCACGGUGAAGAAUGUGAGACUUAACGAAACAUUGUGUAAGCUAGUUAUAGAGGAGGAGACUUCCAUCACGAGUCUCUGCGUAUGCGGUCCUCAUUAUAAGUGGAGGGAGAUGCAUGGAAGGGAGUCAAAUGGUUAUUGGGUCUCGAAAGGCCCAGCGAAGUGAAGGCAGUAUGUUUAGUGUUUUCAUGGGUUUGGGCCCAAGGAAGGUGGAAGUUGAACAAUCAGGGGGUAUUGCAAGCACAUAACCCACGAAAUGGCAGCUAGAACAACGUUUACGUUGGCGAGGGGAGGAAUGGUGCGUUGCGAGUGAGUAAUGGAGGAAGGCAGGUGAGGGGUAAGGUGAAGCUCCUAUUGAGGUUGGGCGCUUGCAGAGGAGAAGGUGUCAUUGUCAUAGAGACAAAAGAGGGUGUUGAAACAUAUCAGUUGGCACAACGGGGCUAUGGCAGAUUUUCCCCAACAACGACGACGUUUAUAAGUGCCUAAUUUCAAUAAUAUUUUAUAUUAAAAUAUAGGUACUUAUGUGUAUUAAUUUCUAAAUUACAUAUAAAAUAAAUUCCUAAUUUAUGAAUUUAUGCCUUUUUUACAUUUUUUAUGAUCUUUAUUUGAAUAAGAACAUUUUAUUCCCAUAUUUGGUGUUAAUUGUAGGUUUCUAGGGAAAAAUGGAGAUUUGGACUAAAGAAGAAUGAUAUAAGCUAAAAAGAGAAUGCUGGAAGGUCCAGAAAGCACAAAAAGAGAAAAAAAAGAGUCCAACCCAGUAGCAGAGUUCUUGCUCAAACAAGCUAUAUCUCGCUUGAGCGAGAGAGCUCCAACAACGUUCUCAAAAAAUCGACUCCUUUCUCGCUCAAGCGAGAAUGCAUCAGAGAAAUUGGGCCAUUUUUAUGUUUUAUCAAUAAACCCAUCAGUGCGACGCAAGAAGUCACAUAACCCUAGUAAAUUAGGUUAAAUAGGGGGCUAAAGGCUCAACCCUAGUAUGCCAGAUUGAGAGAAAAACACAUUUGAGUGAUUUGUAACCAAUUGGGAGAAUGGAAGGUGCUGGAAGUAUGCGUGGGUAAUUCUACCCUUUGGGAUUGGGAGUAAUAUGUUCGAACUCUUAUGUAUUGAGGUGAUGUUUAAAUAUGAUAUCAUAUUUUGUCCUUGAUUGAUUAUUGGUAUUGUUGUUUUUCUUCUAAAUAGUGGUGACAUGUUUGAGAAUCUUGAAUUAGACUGGGAGGUAUUUUCAGGGUUCUGACCUAAACAACAAUACUUAACAUAUUUGAAUGUUAGAGAUAACUUGAAAUGUCAAUUGCUAUUAACGUCUGAGCGCGACUCUGAGUUGUUUUUAUAAGUAUGCGAGAGUUCGAUAUUUAGGAAACAUUCUUAAGAAUUUUAUAUGCGAGAGAUUGAUAUAAAUGAUUUUUCUACAGACAUCAAUUUCAAUAAAAGAACUUAAUGUUAACAUGCUAAUCAAAAUACAUGAGAGUGAGCAAGAUGAAACCUAAUCCCUAUUUGUCCAAUUGAAGCAAUUACUCUUUGAUUUGUUUUCUUGUUAAUUGUUGCCAUUAUAACAAUUUUCAAACCAAAUUUUUAUUGUUUUGUUUUAUAUUUAGUGAAUAUUGUACUUGAUAAUUCAAUUGUUCCUUGUGACAUUGAUAUUCAUUCUUUAUUACUUCUAACAACGCGAUGUACUUGCUGUAAAAAGUCAUCAGGCGUCCCCGGCUUCUCCCCUGCAUUCAUUUGGAGAAGGCAGCGAGCAAAGGGGGCGGAUAAGGGUGAAAAUUUUAAGUCUUCGAGCUGCAAUGGAAAGGCAGCCACGGAGGAGAAGGAAGACAACGACUUAAGGGGAUGUGCGACUUUGGAGGAAGGUGAUGGUGGUUGGUGCAGGGGAGAUGCGGACGUGAAGUUCGCUGAAAUUUUAAUCGAAGCUAAGGGAGAUGGAGAUUUUUCAAAAAGAGGAGCGGAAGCGAGAAUAUUGACGGGGGCCACACCGACAAACUUUUCGGUGCAAAAUCAACGGGAAAUAAGGUUAGAUUCUUAGAGCUCAAUCAAUUGCUCUACUCAUAGUGCACUUAGGAAUUGUAAUAGGUUGUUUUGGAUUAAAACGAGUACUCGAAAGCUGAUAGAAUUUGGAAUGUUGGUAAGGAGGUGGGGUUUUCCUUUCUCGGAGAGGGUGAUGUUGUUAUUGGUAAGCUACAAGUCAUGGAGGUUAGAGACAAAUCUGCAGGUAGGAGGGAGGAAAUAAGCAGGGUGGAGAAUAGUCUGUCUAAUGAGUAAGCUAAUUAAUAUGAAUAUAAGGGGAGUAGGGGGAAAUAUUAAAAGGAAAUAUCUACGAGUUGAUUAAGAAAGAACAAGUAUGUUUACAGGAGGCAAAAUGUAAGGAGUUGGGGCAAGAAGAGAUUUUUAAAAUGUGGGGUACUAAUGAAGUGGAUUGGGUUGAAAAUGGAAUUAAAAACAAUGCAGGAGAGGUGAUCACGAUGUGGAGGAGAAGUUGCUUUCUUCUUAGUAAUUUUAUCAAUGAGAAGAAUUAUAGUAUAAUAGAAAGGGAGUGGAGGAUUGGAGAGCCGAUACAGAUCACUAUUGUUGACGUGUAUAAUUCCGGUUCCUUGGAAGAAAAAAGAUAAGUAUGAGAGGAGGUCAGAGAGAGGAGAACGGUGCAUGGAUCAAAGGCUUGGUGCGUGGUUGGGAACUUUAACUCUAUCAGGAGAAUAUGUGAAAGGAGGAAUGCAGGAAACGAUAUUGAUCACAGUAGGGAGAUGAGAAGAUUCAAUAAUUUUAUUGAAAACACUGAGUUGGUUGAUAUUUCGAUGAUGGGAAGAAAGUUUACGUGGUAUAAACCAAACAAUUUAAUCAAGAGUAGAAUUGAUCGUAUCUUGGUGUCGCGGGAAUGGUUGAAUAAGUAGCCUAACAGUAAACAUCUCGUUCUAAACAGAUCGGUGUCUGAUCAUUGCGUCCUGGUAUUAAAAACAGAUACUACGGAUUGGGGACUGAAACCAUUUAGGUCGUUGGAUAUAUGGAAAAAUGACGACAAAUUUAUGGAUUUCGUUAGAGUGAAAUGGGGAAGUUAUGACGUGCAAGGAAGUGAGAUCUUUGUCUUUAAAGAGAAGUUGAGAAUGUUGAAAGUUGAUCUUAAAACCAGGGAUAGAGAGGUGUUCGAUAAUGUUGAUCAGUUGGGGGAAGAUUUACAGAAGAAAGUUUAGGAGUCUGAUGCAAAGGAUGAUGAGGGCGAGUUGGAUGAGGAAGGAAGAGAGGAAAGAAAAUGGCUUUUAGCAAAGCAGAGAAGAAAUAAUCACGGACAUGAAGCUUUAUUUCAACAUAAGAUGCGCCAUGGAUGGUUGAAUCAGGGGGACUUGAAUACAAGAUAUUUUCAUUCGGUAAUCAAAUAGAGGAGAGCAAGGAACAACAUUAGUGGGCCGAGAGAAAAUGGCCAAUGGGUUGACGAGCAAGGUGAGGUCAAGAAAAAGGUUAGAGAUUUCUUCCAACAAAGGUUUGGUGGUGAUGCUUGUAAAUGUGUCAGGAUUGAUAAUGCAAGGUUCAACAGGAUUUCAGAAGAAGACAAUGAUAUGUUGGUAGGAAGAAUAAUCGAAGAGGAAAUAAAACAUGUUGUUUGGUGUUGUGAAAGUGAUAAAAGCCCGAGACCGGAUGGAUUUAACUUUGGCUGCAUUAAGUUUUGUUGGGAUGUUUUUAAGGUCGAUAUCAUUAGGGCAAUUCGUGAUUUUAAGGAAGGAGGAAGAUGGCCAAGGGGGACGAAUGCUUCGUUUAUCUCCUCCUAAAUAACCCGCAAAAAUUUGAACGAUUUUAGACCAAUUUCUUUGAUUGGCUAUCUAUACAAAAUUGUGACUAAAAUUUUGUCUUUGAGGCUGAAAAAUGUUUUGCACAAAGUUAUUGACAGUAGGCAAUUUGUUUUCUUGGAGGGUAGGGGGUUAAUGGAUAGUGUUUUAGUGGCAAAUGAAGUUUUGGAAGAAGUGAAGAGGAGAAAGACCAGUUGCUUUUUUUUUUCAAAGUUGACUAUGAAAAGGCAUAUGACUCGAUCAUUUGGGACUUUAUCUAUUACAUGAUGGACAAGUUAGGUUUCUGCGGAAAAUUGAUUGAAUGGGUAAGGGCAUGUCUCGAAUCAUCCUCCGUGUCCGUGUUAGUAAAUGAGAAUUCAGACCGAGGAAAGAAUUAAGACAAGCAGAAUUGAGAAAAAGAUUGGCUGGAGUAGUUAGGAAGGCGGUCGAGAAAGAGAUUCUAGAAAACCUGGAGAUUGGAGACAAGUUUGUUAAGGUAAACAUGCUUCGGUAUGCGAAUGAUACCCUUUUUUCUGCAAAGCUAAAGUGCAAAGUGUGUUCGUUAUCAAAGCCAUCCUUAAUUUAUUUGAAUUAGCUUCUGGUUUAAAGAUUAAUUUUGAGAAGAGCAGAAUAUGUGGGGUGGGAGGUGAUUUACAUAUGGGGCAACUUUGUGUAUCUAUUUUGAACUGCGCUGUGAUGAAGACUACGUUUAAGUAUUUGGGCAUGCUAGUAGGGGGAUGUCACAAAAGAAGUAAGUUAUAGGAAGACUUUGUCUGAUAAAAUUGGUUCUAUCUUCUCUACCCAUGUUCUAUAUGUCACACACACACAAUAUUUCAAAAUAUUGCCCUCUUCAUAGGAAUUUUAAUAUUUACACAUAUCAAACUAAAAUACUUAAGAAAACUAAACAUUUCCUUUGCUCAUUGUGAAGCUCUCUCAUUUGUAGCAUCAUCUGCUUCCGUAUAAAUACAUGAUCAUCCUAGAUAAGAAAAACAAAUUAUAAAAUAAACAACAUGGUAAACUAGCUAUUUUUAAAAUUUCAAAUAUAAAUUUAACUUAAAUUAACAAGCAUAAAUGCAUCAAUUCUCAUAUAUUUCACAAAGAAAUCAAGUGUGUAUAAAAUUCAUAAUUCAUCUUUCUCAUGUCAAACUUCUCCUAACCCACAACACAUAGACACUUGACUCUACUUUCAGAAGACAAAUGUAUUGAAAUUAGCACUCAGAAACAAACAAUCCUUCAAGAAAAUUGAACUAGUGUCCACGUCACCCGCACAUCCAGAUCUUCUAACCUAGGUUCUAUUGAAAAUUUAAAACUAGCUUCCCUUACCUGACUUUAGUAGGUGUGCUCACAAAGAGCUCCAACUCCUACUACAAUAAAUGAUAACUUAACCUGCAUCACAGAGUCUUAAUCAAAGGUCUAAAUAUAACACUAGGAAUUUGAAUUAAGAGUGGUUAAUCUUGAAGUUAGAAACAUCACAUGAAACAACCUAUACUAAGACAAACCUAACUAGUUAAGAACUGACUCAAAGGAAAAAUGAGCAAAAAAAGAAGAAGAACUUACUCUGUCUAAGAUUCUAAUCGUACCGUCUUGUGGCCUUUGCUGCUAGGAGUCCAAUAAUGGACUCUGAUCGUUAAUAUGAUGAAUGAGGAUGUCGAAAUUUUAGAGAUAAGGUAGAGAAAAGGAAAAUAGAAGUUUCAGAGAGAUGGUAAUUCUUUUAAAAUGAAAUAUGAGUAACUGAAUUUCUUUUCAUAUACUAUUUUCACUUUAAUAAUAAAAUAUUCAAGUUUCAUUUAAAAUAUAUCACUUCUACUCUAAAAUUAGUUUUUAGAUCCUUACCUUCAUCAAUACAUUUAUUUAUUUAUUAUAAAAGUUUUUAGUGGCAUAAGAGUGUAUGAAUACAUUAUACCGUUAACUUCAUCUUCAACUUACAUCAUGUGAAAAUUUCAUUUAAAUAAUGUUUAAAGCUCACUAGUGGAAACUCUAAUGUUAGUUACAAUUACUGUAUAUAGGAACCUAUAAUAAUAGUUUUUUAAACUAAAAAUUAUUGUUGAACUGGACAAGAGUGAGAAUUUACUAAAAAAACCUUCAAAUUAUAAUUUUUAUUCAAUAAUAAUUUUUUUAUAAAUAAAAAUUAAAUUUUGUUAAGAAUUCAGUUGGAUCCCAUAUUUUUUUUUAGUUUUCUUUUUCAACUAUUUUUUUUGUGUGGAUUCUUCUUAUCAUUUGUAGAGUAGCUAGUUACAUGAGCAACAACUUUUUUUGAAAGGGAUGGGAGGGAGGGAGUCUCUUUUCUCAUAUUCCAGUCUCUUUUUCUGCUGGUGUAUGUGCUAAUCAAAUUCCUCUGAUUUGGGAAGUCUUUAUAGUUUAAGUUUUUUAGUGUUAAGUGCUCCCUUAACCCUGUUUUGUAUUGUUGUUUGUUUAAACUAUGGAGGUAUUAUGUAUAAGGAUUGGGACACUCUUUAAGUGUCUCAUUUUUAUUUUAUUAAUUUAAUGCUGAUAAAAAAAAAAAACAACUAUUUUUGAACUAUUUCAUAUGCUUAGAGAAUCAUCAUUCAUUUGAUCUUGAAUUUCUGGUUCCUUGUACUUUUCAGACUUAAUUAAUAUGGACCACGUACCCCAUGAACUAAAUGCACCUAAGUCUUUUGUCUCUUGCACCUCCAUUGUCAGAACCACGUGGCCCAUCACAAGUUUUCACAGUGUCCUUUUAGAAUUUUUCAAUCUUUUCUCAGUUUGCUUUCUUUAUUUGUAUAUGUAUUAUUUGUGUACAUAUUGAAAACUUUAUUGUAUCUAGAUUACAGUAAAUAUAUAUGGUUCUCGAACAUGUGUUUGCUUACAAAACGAUUGCUCUGUUCUUUCCUUUGGUCGUUCGCGGUCAUAUUCAGUUUCUUGCUUCGUCUUUCUCUUUUCGGUCGUUUGGUUUCAAAGGUUGGGAUAGUACUUGCAGAAGGCAUUCCGACGAUCAAGUUAGUCAGAGUAUCGACACUCAGUUGUCAGAGUACUGCAGAUAAUUGACGUACCUGAUUUUUGGAAUAUGUGUUAUUUAUAUUAUCUUAAUGAACCUUUAUUGGUGGGCCGGAUUAAGAUGUUGGCUAAUGUUUAGGAUUUAGUAAACAACUCUUAAUUAUGGAUUAAUCCUGCUGACUUGGUCAACCCAUAGUUCGUCAUCAAGGUCGGUCGAUCAGGUUCUUCACAUGACCUUCUUAUCAUGACCGAGUGAUCGAGUUCAUGACCGACUCACUUAGUGGUUCGAUCGUGUGCCAGUACAUACAUUUUUUUACUUUAAAGUGAUUCAUAAUUUUUACUAAUAUUAUAUAAUUUUUCACAUUAAAAAUGCGUAUUUUUUUUAUGAUUUUUGAGUUUGUGUUAUUUCUUUUAUCAGUUUAUUAAUAUAAAAGUGUCGGUUCAAAUAAUUCGAAACUUAAGUAUUUAUACACUUUAUUCAAAUUGAUCAAUUCAAUGGGAUGUAAACUAAUUGGGUACUGGAAGGAUAAGAAAGUAAAUUGAACUAUUAUGAAAGACUAUUUAUAUUAAUUUUACCUCUAAAAGUUUAUAUUAUGUUCAUUAAAAUAACUAAUAAGUAGAGAUAAAAUAAAUAACUUUAACUAAGGGUUGAAACUCGAAUUUUUAUUUCAGAGUUGUUAACUUAACAUUUAAAAUCUUUCAAAAGCAUGAACAAUCUUUUAGAUUGGCGCCUGUAAAUAAGAGAAAAAAAAUCAUUAUUUUUGUUUCCUAUGUUUAUAGGAUCUGAAAAAAAAAACUAAUAAGUCAACACAUAAGUAUAAAAUGAAUAUCAAAUUAAAUUUUUCAUCAGUUAUCAUUAAAUCUUUAUAACUGUGUGUUAGUUUGAAUUGGGUCAGUUUAAACAUAAAACCAACUCAACACAAUCAUAAAUAAAACUUCAACUCAACCUAUUGAAUUAAAUUAAAGUUUGUUAAGCUGGCGUUUUUUUUAAUUAGGUUGUAUUAUUAUUUUUUAAUUAGGUUAAUAUUUAAAAGUUAUAAUUUUUAACGAAAAAAAAUUCAAAUUUUUGAUCCAAUCUUAAUCCAACCAUCUCAAAAAUGAUUUGGAUUAAUUGGUUUAACAUGCAAAAUUUAAAAACAAACUUAACCAACCUUAUAUUUUUAAAUGGGUUGAAUAAUAGGUUUUUCUAGAUAUACCCAAUAGAAAACCAUUUAAAAAUUAUAAUGGAUUUUUACCGCUUGAAAAGAGAUUCUAUUAACUUGGAUUCCAUCUUUUCUUUCAUCAAACAUAUAGUGAUAAUGGAUUUUUUUUAUUGUUUAUAUUUCCUUUUGUUAACAAACUUGCUACAUUUUUUUUUCUUAAGCAAAAUAAUUUAGUAGUAAAAGAAACCUAAACUUGAGCAUAAGAUGUAAGUAAAACUGUAAAAAAUUUAAAUGACUCCAUUAAUCAUUGAGGAUCAUAAACAUAAACUAUCAUGGUAUACAAAACAACAACUAAUCCAAACCUAGAAUUAACAUAAGCACAGACUGUGAUGUGAAAUCUUAUUCUUUUAUCUCCUUCUUCACAAACCUCUUAUUCCUUUAUCGCCUUCACAAAGCUCUUAAAGUUCUCAUAAGAUGUUCCUCCUUUUGCUAUGUUCUUCAUCACUUUCUCCUUCAACACCACACACCUACAUUUUAUGUUCUCAUCAUUAAAGAUCUGUUCCACUUUGGUUUUCAACUCUCCGCGUGACACAACUCCAUUUUCAUCUUUGUCAAUUCCCAACCCAACCUUUAACUCAUCACAAAUAUGUGUUUUGUUGUAAGGUUGGUCUCCCAAGUAUGGCCAACACAACAAAGGUACCCCAUUGGACAAACCUUCCAUGGUAGAAUUCCAACCACAAUGAGUGAGAAAACAUGCUAUGGCAGGGUGACUUAAAACCUUUUGUUGAGGAGCCCAAUUCACUAUCUUACCCUUAUGCCCUUGGAAUUCAUGAGGGUAUGCCAUUUUAUUGUCUUCUCUUAUAACCCAAAGAAAAGGUCUAUUGGUGAGGUCUAGUCCAAGGGCAAGUUCAUUGAAUUGGUUUUGGUCAAAAAGAGUGAUACUACCAAAGGCAACAUACAACACAGAACCAUCAGCUUGUUCAUCUAGCCAACUCAUGCAAGAGAGAUCUUCUUCCCAGAAUUGCCCCAAUGAUCUUAGAGUUACAUUAGUUUUGUAAUGAUGAUCACUUCUCAACAGCGGACCAAUUGGAAGGAGACUCGGAACAAGGGUUAAUACGUGAGGUUCAAGUUCAUGUGCAGUAUCACAAAGCCACCAUUGAGUCAAAUUUAAAGCUGGAAAACAGUGAUGCACCAAGUAAUUAAGGUAAUGAGAACCAUCCAUAAGUUCAGCCAUGUGAAACCAAAACAAGGUUCUUGUGUCCAUCUCUGGCAUACUUGGUGAUAAUUGAAUUGUCCCUUUUGAAGUUAAUAUGGAUCCUGCAAUGAAACAUGACAUAAUUGAGAAGUAAAAUAUGUUUUUAGAUGGGCAUGGUAUUUAUUAAAACAGGACCAAACAAAAGCAUAAGUUGCCAGACUU